AAAUCCCCCUUAAAAAAAAAAAACCCUGCAACAGGGAGACAGCAAACGCAGAGAGAAAGUGAUAGAAGCUAACAAAAACCCUACCCAUAUUUAUGUUAUUAGGUUCUUCCUCCAUUGAUCCGAGAAGCUAAGCCUCGCCUACUGUCUAGCCCUAUAAACUAAAAACCUUUCCUUUCAAUUCCCAUCCAUCCGUCCACACUGCACCGCCCAACUCUGUUCUUCAGAAUAUCAUGGAUGAUCUGGAGAGAGCGAUUCUUGUUAUGUUUGAUGAAUCGGGAGCCCUCGACGAUGACUUGAAGAAACAGGCUAAAGUUUACUGUAACGAUAUUAAGGAGAAGCCAUUAAUUUGUAGAUUGUGCAUUGAAAAAUUAUGCUUUUCAAAUCUUGUUCAAGUCCAGUUUUGGUGCCUACAGACCUUGCAUGAGGUCAUUCGAACGCGAUACUUGACAAUGACCCCAGAUGAGAGGCACAUGAUCAGGGGCUCCGUCUUUUCAAUUGUGUGCCUCGAAGACAAGAACCUCGCAAGGGUUUUGGAAGGCCCUGCAUUUAUAAAGAACAAGCUUGCACAGGUUUUGAUAACUUUGAUUUACUUCGAGUACCCUUUGGUUUGGUCCUCCGUCUUUGUUGAUUUUUUUCCACAUUUGAGCAAAGGAAACGUGGUCAUAGACAUGUUCUGUAGAGUUUUGAAUGCCCUAGAUGAUGAGCUCAUUAGUUUGGACUACCCUAGAACCCCUGAGGAGUUGGCAGUUGCUGGCCGGGUUAAGGAUGCAAUGAGACAGCAGUGCGUGCCUCAGAUAGUUAGAGUUUGGUAUGACAUUGUUUCUAUGUACCGGAAUUCUGAUCAUGAGCUAUGCACUAGUGUGUUAGAUUCCAUGAGGAGAUAUAUUUCUUGGAUAGACAUUGGGUUGAUAGUCAAUGAUGCUUUCAUCCCUUUGUUGUUUGAUUUGAUUUUGGUUGGUCCUCUGUCUGAUCAGCUUCGUGGUGCUUCAGUCAGAUGCUUAUUAGCAGUUGUUUCUAAGCGAAUGGAGCCCGAAUCAAAACUGUCAUUGUUGCAAAGCCUUCAAAUUAGUCGUGUACUUAGGUUAGUGACCGAGGAUGUCGAUGUUGAGCUGGUCUCUGAUAUAGCUGCAUUGCUUUCUGGGUAUGCUGUGGAGGCCUUGGAUUGCUUUAAACGCAUAAAUUCUGAGGAUGCUAAAGGAAUCUCUAUGGAGCUUUUGAGUGAAGUUUUACCCUCCAUUUUCUAUGUAAUGAAGAAUUUUGAGGUAGAUGUUACAUUCAACAUCAUUCAGUUUCUUUCAGGUUAUGUUGCCAUUUUUAAGAGCUUUGUUCCUUUGCCGGAGAAGCAGCUACUUCACCUGGGACAGAUAUUGGAAGUUAUCCUUGUGCUAAUCCGUUAUGACCCAGUGCACCGCACCAAUCUUGAUGUGAUGGACAAAAUUGGUAAAGAGGAGGAAGAUAGGAUGGUGGAGUUCAGAAAGGAUUUAUUUGUUCUGCUUCGCAAUGUGGGUCGUGUAGCGCCUGAUGUAACUCAGUUGUUUAUCAGAAAUUCGUUAGCAAGUGCUGUUUCAAGAUCUUCAGAUAGCAAUGUGGAGGAGGUGGAAGGUGCACUUUCUCUUUUGUAUGCACUUGGAGAAUCCAUAAGUGAGGAAGCCAUAAGAACUGGGAGUGGGUUGUUGAGUGAGCUGGUGCUUAUGCUUCUAUCGACAAAGUUUCCUUGUCACUCUAAUAGGCUUGUUGCUCUUGUUUAUUUGGAGACAGUGACAAGAUAUAUUAAGUUUAUUCAGGAUAAUACUCAAUAUAUUCCCAUGGUUCUGGCUGCCUUUCUCGAUGAAAGAGGCAUACAUCAUUCAAACAUCAAUGUAAGUCGUAGAGCCAGUUAUUUGUUUAUGAGGGUUGUAAAGUUUCUGAAGAUGAAGUUGGUGCCUUUUAUAGAGACUAUUUUGCAGAGCCUGCAAGAUACAGUUGCUCAAUUCACUAUUAUGAAUUAUACGACAGAAGAGCUAUCAGGGUCAGAAGAUGGUAGCCACAUUUUUGAGGCAAUUGGUUUAUUGAUUGGAACAGAAGAUGUCCUGCCUGAAAAGCAAUCUGAUUAUCUAUCUUCUUUGCUCAGUCCUCUUUGUCAACAGGUUGAGGCACUGCUCAUAAAUGCCAAGUUAUUGAAUGCUGAGGAGACUAAUGCCAAAAUUGCUGUAAUCCAGCAAAUUAUUAUGGCAAUUAAUUCUCUCAGUAAGGGCUUUAGCGAGCGUCUUGUAACCGCUAGUCGCCCUGCAAUUGGUAUCAUGUUUAAGCAGACAUUGGAUGUACUUCUUCAAGUUCUUGUUAUAUUUCCAAAAGUUGAACCUCUGCGAAACAAGGUCACAUCUUUUAUACACCGCAUGGUGGAUACACUAGGAGCAUCUGUCUUUCCUUACCUUCCAAAGGCAUUGGAGCAGUUGCUUGAAGAAAUCGAACCAAAGCAGAUGGUUGGUUUUCUUUUGUUACUCAAUCAACUUAUCUGCAAAUUCAAUACUUUGGUGCGUGACAUUUUGGAGGAAAUAUUUCCAUCUAUCGCCGAGCGGAUAUUCAGUGUUAUUCCUAGAAAUGGAUUACCUUCUUCUGGUUCUGAUGCAAUCACUGAGGAAAUUCGUGAAUUGCAAGAACUUCAGCGAACAUUGUAUACAUUUCUUCAUGUGAUUACUACACAUGACCUGUCUCCUGUAUUUCUUUCCCCAAAAUGUAAAGCAUACCUGGAUCCAGUGAUGCAGUUGCUUUUGUACUCUUCUUGUAAUCAUAAUGAUAUUCUUGUAAGAAAGGCAUGUGUACAGAUUUUUAUUAGAUUAAUUAAAGAUUGGUGUGCCCAGCCUUAUGAAGAAAAGGUUCCUGGUUUUCGAAGUUUUGUGAUUGAAGCAUUUGCUACAAACUGCUGUCUGUACAGUGUGCUGGACAGAUCUUUUGAGUUUCAUGAUGCAAAUACUGUAAGAUAUAUGUAUUAUUGUUUUAUACAUUCUUUUAGUCACUCUUUGUCUCUUCAACUGAUAUGUUUCUGCUGUCCAAAACCAUUGUGUAUAUGUUUGUUUUGUUUGGAGAAAUUGUGCUGGCACAGAAGGUAAUGUAUGAAAAAUUUGGGGAUGAUUUUCUCGUAAAUUUUGUAUCGAAAGGAUUUUCUUCUGCACAUUGCCCACCAGAUCAGGCAGAGCAAUAUCGUCAAAAAUUGCAGGGUGGUGAUUUCAAGGCACUAAAAUCUUUCUAUCAGUCACUAGUGGAAAAUUUGAGAGUGCAGCAGAAUGGAAGCCUUGUGUUCAGAUAGCAUACUUGUAUCGGAAAAAUUAAGAGUCCUCUUCCUAUAUGCCUAUGUUUUUUGGCCGUAUCCUAGUUUGGGGCUUGAUUUCUGUUUACAUAAGGUAAUUAUGAUUGUGUUUGAUGAAAUCAAGUUUGAGGUCUCUUCCAUUUUUAUUUUAUUUUUCCCAAUCACUUGUAAAAUUUCCCCCUCAAUAGUGCGGUCAUGAAACGGUGAACACUGCAGGGUUGUGUAUAUAGCUUUUGCGGAUGAGCGAUGGAUAUUCUGCUUGCCCUAAUUUUGAUGAGUUCCUCAUGCAACCUGACCAAUCAACUAAUUGUUUCAGGUCUUUCUAUAUUCUUUUUGUCCCUCCUCAAUUGUAAAUUUUUUCUAUUCUCUUUAACAGUGGAGUUCCAUCCAUCGGUUUGAAGCUUGUCAAUAUGAGAUCAAAUUUUGGUGUUUGAUUUCUCAAUUCUCUUUCUCCCUGUAA